AAAGUCGUAACAAGGUUUCCGUAGGUGAACCUGCGGAAGGAUCAUUAAUACGUCUAAACAACGUUUUAAACCUUUCAAAUUUGUGGAAAUUCUUACCAUUCCGGGUGCAUUUUAUUGGCAUGAGAAGGGACUUCUUGUUAUGAGACACUUCAGUGUAGAGCAGUGAGGUGAAAUCUGAGCUUUUGAUGGCUUGGAUUUGGUUCUGGAUCACGACUCUUUGGUGACAGAGAGUCAAAUGCUGAAUGCAUUCGGUUAUUACUGUUCUACAUUUUAUUCUAUCAAACUUAUAAACCCCAUGUACAACAACUUGAACUAAACAUCUCUUCUGAUCACAUUGACUUGUGUGAUGAAGAACAAAUCUGAAAUUAAGAACAACUCUUAACAACGGAUAUCUUGGUUCUC
rnacentral:misc_RNA from 1 species